rnacentral:rRNA from 1 species
AACGGACGCUGGCGACAGGCUUAACACAUGCAAGUCGAACGCCCCUUACGGGGAGUGGCAGACGGGUGAGUAACGCGUGGGAAUCUACCCAUCUCUACGGAAUAACUCAGGGAAACUUGUGCUAAUACCGUAUACGCCCUUUGGGGGAAAGAUUUAUCGGAGAUGGAUGAGCCCGCGUUGGAUUAGCUAGUUGGUGGGGUAAAGGCCUACCAAGGCGACGAUCCAUAGCUGGUCUGAGAGGAUGAUCAGCCACAUUGGGACUGAGACACGGCCCAAACUCCUACGGGAGGCAGCAGUGGGGAAUAUUGGACAAUGGGCGCAAGCCUGAUCCAGCCAUGCCGCGUGAGUGAUGAAGGCCCUAGGGUUGUAAAGCUCUUUCACCGAUGAAGAUAAUGACUGUAGUCGGAGAAGAAGCCCCGGCUAACUUCGUGCCAGCCGCCGCCGUAAAAC